rnacentral:rRNA from 1 species
AGUGAACGCUGGCGGUAGGCCUAACACAUGCAAGUCGAACGGCAGCACAGUAAGAGCUUGCUCUUACGGGUGGCGAGUGGCGGACGGGUGAGGAAUACAUCGGAAUCUACUUUUUCGUGGGGGAUAACGUAGGGAAACUUACGCUAAUACCGCAUACGACCUACGGGUGAAAGCAGGGGAUCUUCGGACCUUGCGCGAUUGAAUGCGCCGAUGUCGGAUUAGCUAGUUGGCGGGGUAAAGGCCCACCAAGUCGACGAUCCGUAGCUGGUCUGAGUGGAGGAUCGGCCACACUGGAAGUGAGACACGGACCAGACUCCUACGGGAGGCAGCAGUGGGGAAUAUUGGGCAGUGGGCGCAAGCCUGAUCCAGCCAUACCGCGCGGGUGAAGAAGGCCUUCGGGUUGUAAAGCCCUUUUGUUGGGUGAGAAAAGCAGCAGGUUAAUACCACGCUGUUCUGACGGUACCCAAAGAAUAAGCACCGGCUAACUUCGUG